rnacentral:lncRNA from 1 species
GAACAGUCCAAGAUACGACUGAGUCCAGCAUGCCGUCUUAUGACGGAAAUUGAUAUAUGAGAUUUGAAAAUUUUCAAAACUUUGUACUACAAUGACAAUGACGCACUGGGUCAGUUUAUUAAGCGUGCUAGUUCACAAGGCAAAUAUAGAAAAAAGAAGAAAUGGUAUGAUUGCCAAUGCAUCAACUCUUCACAAACGACCAAAAUGGCACAGAAAUUAACAACUAUAGGUCAACAUACCGCAAAGUCAGCUAUAAAAGACCCCAAAAUGAUAAUGUAAAACAAUUUAAACGAGAAAAAUAACGGCCUAAUUUAUGUACCAAAAAAUGAACGAAAAACAAAUAUGUAACAGAAACAAACGACAGCCACUGAAUUACAGGCUCCUGAUUUGGAGAGACACAUACAUACUGAAUGUGGCGGGGUCAAACAUGUUUGCGUGAUCGCAACCCACUCCCUUACAUGAAACAGU